CCAAAAGGAGGGAUCCCCUGUGACUGG
rnacentral:piRNA from 1 species